GUCUACGGGCAUGCCACCAUGAACAAGCCUGAUCCUGUCUGAUCUCGAAAGCUAAGCAGGGUCAGGCCUGGUUAGUACUUGGAUGGGAGACCACCUAGGAAGACCAGGUACUAUAGGCG
rnacentral:rRNA from 1 species